UACAGAGGUCUCAAGCGUUGUUCGGAUUCAUUGGGCGUAAAGGGUGCGUAGGCGGCGCGGUAAGUCGGGUGUGAAAUCUUGGAGCUUAACUCCGAAACUGCAUUCGAUACUGCCGUGCUUGAGGACUGGAGAGGAGACUGGAAUUUACGGUGUAGCGGUGAAAUGCGUAGAUAUCGUAAGGAAGACCAGUGGCGAAGGCGGGUCUCUGGACAAAACCUGACACUGAGGCACGAAAGCUAGGGGAGCAAACAGG
rnacentral:rRNA from 1 species